rnacentral:rRNA from 1 species
AACGAACGCUGGCGGCAUGCCUAACACAUGCAAGUCGAACGAGACCUUCGGGUCUAGUGGCGCACGGGUGCGUAACGCGUGGGAACUUGCCCUUAGGUUCGGAAUAACUCCCCGAAAGGGGUGCUAAUACCGGAUAAUGUCUUCGGACCAAAGAUUUAUCGCCUUUGGAUGGGCCCGCGUUGGAUUAGCCAGUUGGUAGGGUAAAAGCCUACCAAGGCGACGAUCCAUAGCUGGUCUGAGAGGAUGAUCAGCCACACUGGGACUGAGACACGGCCCAGACUCCUACGGGAGGCAGCGGUGGGGAAUAUUGGACAAUGGGCGAAAGCCUGAUCCAGCAAUGCCGCGUGAGUGAUGAAGGCCUUAGGGUUGUAAAGCUCUUUUACCCGGGAUGAUAAUGACAGUACCGGGAGAAUAAGCUCCGGCUAACUCCGUG